rnacentral:rRNA from 1 species
AACGAACGCUAUCGGUAUGCUUAACACAUGCAAGCCGGACGGACUAAUUAGGGCUUGCUCCAAUUAGUUAGUGGCAGACGGGUGAGUAACACGUGGGAAUCUGCCCAUCAGUACGGAAUAACUUUUAGAAAUAAAAGCUAAUACCGUAUAUUCUCUACAGAGGAAAGAUUUAUCGCUGAUGGAUGAGCCCGCGUCAGAUUAGGUAGUUGGUGAGGUAACGGCUCACCAAGCCGACGAUCUGUAGCUGGUCUGAGAGGAUGAUCAGCCACACUGGGACUGAGACACGGCCCAGACUCCUACGGGAGGCAGCAGUGGGGAAUAUUGGACAAUGGGCGAAAGCCUGAUCCAGCAAUACCGAGUGAGUGAUAAAGGCCCUAGGGUUGUAAAGCUCUUUUAGCAAGGAAGAUAAUGACGUUACUUGCAGAAAAAGCCCCGGCUAACUCCGUG